GGAUUCGCACCAGUGUGUGUGUGAGGAGACACGCUGUGGAGAGCGGAGCCGCUGCUGAGGAGACCGCUGUGAGGAGACACGCUGUGGACUGAGGAGCCGUGCUGACAAGCCACGCUGAGGAGAAACACGCUGUUUGGAGGUUGCUGAAUGCAGAGAGCCUGAGCCCGCACCAAGGGGCGGACGUCAAUGGGAGAUCUGGGAGCAUCAGAAGCAGCGCAGCUGCAGGAACAUCCUCUGCCGUUGUGCCCACGCAGAGGCAAAGCCUAGGUGUGACUAGCAGGCCACCACUGCAGCCAUCACCCUGACGCCGCAUAUCACUGGUUUCUCCCGUGCCCCCACAACAACUGCUGGACAGUCCUCCACGCUUGUCGCCACAAUCACCUCAUCUGCCUGAGGACACCAAUCAACCUGAAUGUGAAACACAACAGCAACAAACACAGGACACAUUUACCCUUCAACUUACGACAAUACCACCACCAUACACCACACCCACAGAUUUACCAACCCAAACACAACCACAAACACCUGAGUAGCACAUAAGCCCAAGCCUAGCCAUGCCGCAGUCAACAGACCAGGCAUUUUGGUCCACCUGGGCCACACAACAAGCCCACACCACAGAAAGUCUGAAAAACAGACCCAAGCAUUAACGAGUCUAGCCCAUCACAUGCCCCGCCUAUGCAGAAGCAACAGUCGCCAACAUACGGAGCUCACCAGAUUGACCAAUACAGUCGAACUAAUGCGGGCAGACAAUACCCGCAUGCUAGAUACAUUUCAAAGAGUAAUGGACGACAAUAUACGACUACAUCAAACAUACUUGCAAAUAAUACAAGCCAACCAAAUCACACAAGACACAAUGCUGAGAGUCAUGGAGAAUUACACGGCUGCAACUCGAGACUUACAUAGUACUAUGACGACGCUUACACAGCAUCUAAUGCAUCCAGAACAACAGACAAGCUCGAGUUCCACCACCACAACCCCCUUGGUGACACCAGUAACAUCCCUUCCAAGACGCUCGAGCAGAAGUCGCUAACACACCAGAGGAAAAGGCCCAGCCCCCUCAAGUGGCAGACCCCAUAAAUAGAUGUGCGUAAGCAUGUGGGUGUAAUGUUAUUUGUUUACUUAAUUUACGCAGCGUUGGUGCGUAUUCAAAAUUCAGUUAUGUACACAAGUUUACAGAUAUAAAGUGUUUGUUCAA